rnacentral:rRNA from 1 species
GAUGAACGCUGGCGGCGUGCCUAAUACAUGCAAGUCGAGCGAACAGACGAGGAGCUUGCUCCUCUGACGUUAGCGGCGGACGGGUGAGUAACACGUGGAUAACCUACCUAUAAGACUGGGAUAACUUCGGGAAACCGGAGCUAAUACCGGAUAAUAUAUUGAACCGCAUGGUUCAAUAGUGAAAGACGGUUUUGCUGCCACUUAUAGAUGGAUCCGCGCCGCAUUAGCUAGUUGGUAAGGUAACGGCUUACCAAGGCGACGAUGCGUAGCCGACCUGAGAGGGUGAUCGGCCACACUGGAACUGAGACACGGUCCAGACUCCUACGGGAGGCAGCAGUAGGGAAUCUUCCGCAAUGGGCGAAAGCCUGACGGAGCAACGCCGCGUGAGUGACGAAGGUCUUCGGAUCGUAAAACUCUGUUAUUAGGGAAGAACAAAUGUGUAAGUAACUAUGCACGUCUUGACGGUACCUAAUCAGAAAGCCACGGCUAACUACGUG